rnacentral:rRNA from 1 species
GCACGGGUGCUUGCACCUGGUGGCGAGUGGCGAACGGGUGAGUAAUACAUCGGAACAUGUCCUGUAGUGGGGGAUAGCCCGGCGAAAGCCGGAUUAAUACCGCAUACGAUCUACGGAUGAAAGCGGGGGACCUUCGGGCCUCGCGCUAUAGGGUUGGCCGAUGGCUGAUUAGCUAGUUGGUGGGGUAAAGGCCUACCAAGGCGACGAUCAGUAGCUGGUCUGAGAGGACGACCAGCCACACUGGGACUGAGACACGGCCCAGACUCCUACGGGAGGCAGCAGUGGGGAAUUUUGGACAAUGGGCGAAAGCCUGAUCCAGCAAUGCCGCGUGUGUGAAGAAGGCCUUCGGGUUGUAAAGCACUUUUGUCCGGAAAGAAAUCCUUGGUUCUAAUAUAGCCGGGGGAUGACGGUACCGGAAGAAUAAGCACCGGCUAACUACGUGCCAGCAGCCGCGGUAAUACGUAGGGUGCGAGCGUUAAUCGGAAUUACUGGGCGUAAAGCGUGCGCAGGCGGUUUGCUAAGACCGAUGUGAAAUCCCCGGGCUCAACCUGGGAACUGCAUUGGUGACUGGCAGGCUAGAGUAUGGCAGAGGGGGGUAGAAUUCCACGUGUAGCAGUGAAAUGCGUAGAGAUGUGGAGGAAUACCGAUGGCGAAGGCAGCCCCCUGGGCCAAUACUGACGCUCAUGCACG